ACUGCUUCUGAAGUGGAGAGAGUUGAAUAAACCCAAGGUUCCUUCUUGGGAACUGGUCAUUAUUACCUGCUCCUGCACUUGUCAUGGAAGAGUAGAGGGUCCUUGGAGAGGCAAUGGUACCAGGAUUUGAGGUGAAGCUUUAGUCCGCAAAUGGCCCUGGGAAGAUUAAGCCUUGCCUUGCUUUCGCACUGAGGAUUGUCCGUCACCGUUUUCCCCUGGUGAGGAGUAGAUAAGGCCUUCGUGUUUAAAGAGAAGCGUCCGCAGACACGAGAAAACACUGCCAAAAAGGAAGCCUUGGCAUCUCAAAACCAAAUCUCCGGCAAAACACCAAAUUCAUGCAAUUAUUUCAUGUAAUGAAACACCUGAAACUCAACUCCCAACCCUUUGCCAAGUGGAAGAGACAAAGAGUAAGGAAAGGAGAAGAGACCAAAAGGGAGGGUAAAUAUGAGAUGAAGAAUUCCCAAAGGCUUGAGAUUACUUUUCCUCGGUCUUUCCUUCAACUUCACCACCCAGAGGUAAUAUUUUUAAAACACAAGGCUUAAAAUAAGCAA